rnacentral:rRNA from 1 species
AGUUAAGUGACUAAGCGCACAAGGUGGAUGCCUUGGCAAUCAGAGGCGAAGAAGGACGUGCUAAUCUGCGAAAAGCUUGGAUGAGUCGAUAAGAGGCGUUUAAUCCAAGAUGUCCGAAUGGGGAAACCCAGUAGGUGAAGAACCUACUAUCACCCAGUGAAUACAUAGCUGUGUGAGGCAAACCGGGAGAACUGAAACAUCUAAGUACCCCGAGGAAAAGAAAUCAACCGAGAUUUCGUUAGUAGCGGCGAGCGAACGCGAAAGAGCCAGUUAGUGAUAGCAGUAAAGUUAGGGGAAUGUUCUGGGAAGGACAAUCGUAGAGGGUGAUAAUCCCGUACCUUAAAACUCCAUUGUGGUACUAGGCUAACAACAAGUAGGGCGGGACACGUGAUAUCCUGUUUGAAGAUGGGGGGACCAUCCUCCAAGGCUAAAUACUCCUGAUUGACCGAUAGUGAACCAGUACUGUGAAGGAAAGGCGAAAAGAACCCCGGCGAGGGGAGUGAAAUAGAACCUGAAACCUUGUGCGUACAAGCAGUGGGAGCAAGAGUAAUCUUGUGACUGCGUACCUUUUGUAUAAUGGGUCAGCGACUUAUAUUUUGUAGCAAGGUUAACUGAAUAAGGGAGCCGUAGGGAAACCGAGUCUUAACUGGGCGUGUAGUUGCAAGGUAUAGACCCGAAACCCGGUGAUCUAGCCAUGGGCAGGUUGAAGGUUGGGUAACACUAACUGGAGGACCGAACCGACUAAUGUUGAAAAAUUAGCGGAUGACUUGUGGCUGGGGGUGAAAGGCCAAUCAAACCGGGAGAUAGCUGGUUCUCCCCGAAAU